rnacentral:miRNA from 14 species
CCUGGAACUCACUAUGUAGACCAGGCUAGCCUCAAAUUCACAGAGAACUGCCUGCCUCUGCCUCCUGAGUAUUAGGAU